GCAGUCGUGGCCGAGUGGUUAAUGCGAUGGGCUACAAAUUCAUUGGAGUCUCCCCGCAUAGGUUCAAAUUCUGUCGACUGCG
rfam:Ixodes scapularis strain Wikel colony gcontig_1108378259758, whole genome shotgun sequence.